rnacentral:rRNA from 1 species
AGAGUUUGAUCCUGGCUCAGGAUGAACGCUAGCGGCAGGCUUAACACAUGCAAGUCGAGGGGCAGCAUAAUGGAUAGCAAUAUCUAUGGUGGCGACCGGCGCACGGGUGCGUAACGCGUAUGCAACCUACCUUUAACAGGGGGAUAACACUGAGAAAUUGGUACUAAUACCCCAUAAUAUCAUAGAAGGCAUCUUUUAUGGUUGAAAAUUCCGAUGGUUAGAGAUGGGCAUGCGUUGUAUUAGCUAGUUGGUGGGGUAACGGCUCACCAAGGCGACGAUACAUAGGGGGACUGAGAGGUUAACCCCCCACACUGGUACUGAGACACGGACCAGACUCCUACGGGAGGCAGCAGUGAGGAAUAUUGGUCAAUGGACGCAAGUCUGAACCAGCCAUGCCGCGUGCAGGAUGACGGCUCUAUGAGUUGUAAACUGCUUUUGUACGAGGGUAAACGCAGAUACGUGUAUCUGUCUGAAAGUAUCGUACGAAUAAGGAUCGGCUAACUCCGUGCCAGCAGCCGCGGUAAUACGGAGGAUUCGAGCGUUAUCCGGAUUUAUUGGGUUUAAAGGGUGCGUAGGCGGUUUGAUAAGUUAGAGGUGAAAUUUCGGGGCUCAACCCUGAACGUGCCUCUAAUACUGUUGAGCUAGAGAGUAGUUGCGGUAGGCGGAAUGUAUGGUGUAGCGGUGAAAUGCUUAGAGAUCAUACAGAACACCGAUUGCGAAGGCAGCUUACCAAACUAUAUCUGACGUUGAGGCACGAAAGCGUGGGGAGCAAACAGGAUUAGAUACCCUGGUAGUCCACGCAGUAAACGAUGAUAACUCGUUGUCGGCGAUACACAGUCGGUGACUAAGCGAAAGCGAUAAGUUAUCCACCUGGGGAGUACGUUCGCAAGAAUGAAACUCAAAGGAAUUGACGGGGGCCCGCACAAGCGGAGGAACAUGUGGUUUAAUUCGAUGAUACGCGAGGA